UAACUCAAACCUUCCAGUCCUCUUCCAGAGGACCCGGGUUCAAUUCCCAGCACCCAUAUGACAGCUCACAACUGUCUAUAACUCCAGUUCCAUUGGAUCUGACACCCUUACACAUAUUUAUUAUCAUAUUUUGUUCAUAUGUAAUCACUACACCUCUCCUCAUCUCUCUCCAUGUAUCAUUCUCUUUCAGCUUUUCUUUGUGUCAUGUGUGUGUGUGUGUGUGUGUGUGUGUGUGCUCGAGAGAGAAAGAAAGAGAGAUUAAAUGAAUACAUACUUUCUUAAAUCUUCAAAUGUUCACUAUGUUUAUCUUGAAAAUGCCCAACUGGGGGCUUAAAAGAUGGUUAUUUUGGGUGUUUAUUGCUUUUAUAAAGGUCCCAAAAUUAAGUUUCCAACAUUACUGUCCCAUAGCUCACUACUGCCUUAACUCCAGUUCUUUUGGCUUCUGUGAAAACCUCUCUGCACAUGGUGCACAUAAACUCACACAAAUACACAUACAUAGAUAUAAACAUAUUUUUUAAAACUAUAGCUAAAUAUUUGGAUAAUUGAUUUUUAAAUAUAUUCUCUGGGUUAUCACUUUGAAACUGGAGACUCUGUACCUAUUAUUUGUGUUUCUUUGAAAAGAAAAAUACCUUUUGGGAUGGGAAACAGGUAAGUGUGAGUUACCAAUCCCAACCCAAAUGGGAUUAUGGGAGAAGAACAUUUGCAGUGCAUUCAAUGUAAUACCAAGUACAAUUAUGUUUUCUUUAUGGGAACUUACUGUUUAGUCGAUGUAAUUGUAAAUUUUUUAAGUUAAUGUAAUUUCUCUUCACUAUGCUUCAGUUUUUGUUUGUUUGGCUUUUGUUUGCUUGUUUUUUCAAGACAGGGUUUCCUAUUGUAACCUUAGCUGCCCUGGAAACUCUCUCUACAGACCAGGCUGUCCUCAAAUUCAGCAAUCCUUCUGCUUUUGCCUCAUGAGUGCUGGGGUUAAAGGUGUGCACCACCACCGCUACUUGGCUCCAAUACUUCAGUUUUAAAAUACAUGGCAUAAUUUUGUUUUGUUUUAUUUUAUUUUAUUUUAUUUUAUUUUAUUUUGACAGACAAGCAAGCCUCAAUGAAGCCGCUGAGAAGUAUUACGAUCUGGCAGCAAGACUGAGACCUAAUGUAAGUACUUCCCCAAUGAGCGCCAUUAGUGAAGGCAUGCUCCCAGGGCAUGCAGUAUAUUCAUUAAAACUGUCUUGUUUCCUCUUUUCCUCCCUGGUUUCUCUGUUUGAACACCCUCUGUAUAGCACAUAACCACCCAUUCCAGUUUCUUCGUCUUCCCCAGAAAUUUCUCUUUUCCCCAUUGUAAAUCACCAUUAACUUUCAUCAUCUGAAUACAGGUUUGAUCAUCACUAAAUACCUUUUACUUGGAUGAAUCUUCCCAUUCUGUGUAAGCUUUUAUUGUUUCGCCAGUGCUAAGUCCUUACUAUUUGUCUUUUGCUCCAUUUAAGCCUUCAGCCUUGUACCCAUUUCCCAUUCUAAAACUCCUCAUUUUUAAUAACUCGACUCUGCAAGUUUAUUGAUAAUGUUUUCAUUACAAGUUUUCCCUGGGUAGUCUCAGUUCCAGAAAGUGCGAUGGAUAUAAAUUAGAUCAUUACUGUUGGAAUAGAAUUACUAUUUAUAAGAAGCCAAGAGCUGCUUUUAGAGCUGCCUGACAAGCAGGGGUUUUUUCACAGCAUCAAAUUUCUCUCCUGAACAUUUAUUCUCAUAUGCACUCUGCACCACUGUGUAGCGGUGAAGCCUUCUCCCGGGCUCUCUGAAUGUAGACCGUGCAUUUGAGAAGUGCAAUUUGCAAACAAUAAUGAAAAUGCAUGUGUGGCCGUAGGACAAAGAAUGGAAUGGGUCUCAUUUCUUUAUCAUGUCGCAUCUAUUGGACAAAUACAUGUACCGGGGCUACUUGGAGAAGGAGGCAGAUUCUAGAUCAUGCAGCAGAUUAGGCAAACAGUGUAACCAAAUAAUUGAUACAGUGUCGUGACUCCUGUGGGGGGUUAGUGCCCUGAGAAUGGAAAGCUAUGGGGAACUUGUGUGUGUUGGUUUCUUUCUUUGUUUUCCCCUUAAGAUUGAGCCAUGAAUAUAAAUCUCAAGUUUGAUUUGUAGUAAUAUGGUAUGAUACAAACACCAUGAAAUAUGUUGUGGCCUCAUAACAAAAGAUGGAUUGGCAUUAAAAAAGAACCGUACACAUUCGUUUAUGAUUUUAGGACGAAAGAAUCUUCAGAUCCAAAGAAGGAAAGGGAAGAUUUUUUUUGUUGUUGUUUGUUUGUUUAUAUUUUAUGGCGAUUGAUGUACAAUGCAGUGGUAAAGGAUGGAGGCGAUUCAGAAGGUAUAGACUAAAGGGACCAGGCAGGUGCAGAUGGUAUAGACCAGGGGGACCAGGCUGGUUCAGAAGUUAUAGACCGAGGGACCGCAGCAAGGCCCAGUUAUUCAGAUUCUUCUCUGUCCCAUCACCAGAAAUAAAGAUGUAAAUGUUACCGUAGCACCUCCUUUACAGGAGAAAACACGAAAGGUCUUGGGACCCUCCUGCCUGUAUUGUCUACUCGGUUCCCUUUAUCUCAACAAAUUCAGUUUUCCAAGAUGCUGUGUUCUGCAACAGCUGUCCCGAAGCACUUCCCACAGUUAGCAGACUCCCGAGGAAGUGACAAGCUGUUUGCAACAGGAGAAAAUAAUCCCAAAGACAAGCAAAGUGAAGGCUAAAGUUUAUGGUAUGCUCACCCAAAACUCACUUUGCUAGGUACUUGGUGAGAAUUUGCUUAUUGCAAUUCACAGCUGCUUUUGCGGCCUAGAUGGUGCUGAAGGGUGGGGAAGCUAAAUGCCUCACCUGGCAGCACUUUAUAGAGUCACUUUGUCAUUU
rnacentral:lncRNA from 1 species